rnacentral:rRNA from 1 species
AUUGAACGCUGGCGGCAGGCCUAACACAUGCAAGUCGAGCGGAUGAAGGGAGCUUGCUCCUGGAUUCAGCGGCGGACGGGUGAGUAAUGCCUAGGAAUCUGCCUGGUAGUGGGGGAUAACGUCCGGAAACGGGCGCUAAUACCGCAUACGUCCUGAGGGAGAAAGUGGGGGAUCUUCGGACCUCACGCUAUCAGAUGAGCCUAGGUCGGUUUAGCUAGUUGGUGGGGUAAAGGCCUACCAAGGCGACGAUCCGUAACUGGUCUGAGAGGAUGAUCAGUCACACUGGAACUGAGACACGGUCCAGACUCCUACGGGAGGCAGCAGUGGGGAAUUUUGGACAAUGGGCGAAAGCCUGAUCCAGCCAUGCCGCGUGUGUGAAGAAGGUCUUCGGAUUGUAAAGCACUUUAAGUUGGGAGGAAGGGCAGUAAGUUAAUACCUUGCUGUUUUGACGUUACCAACAGAAUAAGCACCGGCUAACUUCGU